GAUGAACGCUAGCGGCAGGCUUAAUACAUGCAAGUCGAGGGGCAGCGCGGGGUAGCAAUACUCUGGCGGCGACCGGCAAACGGGUGCGGAACAUGUACAGAACCUUCCUUCGAGCGGGGAAUAGCCCAGAGAAAUUUGGAUUAAUACCCCAUAGUAUAGCGGAGUGGCAUCACUCUGUUAUUAAAGAUUUAUCACUUGAAGAUGGCUGUGCGGCUGAUUAGGUAGUUGGCGGGGUAACGGCCCACCAAGCCUGCGAUCAGUAACUGGGGUGAGAGCACGACCAGUCACACGGGCACUGAGACACGGGCCCGACUCCUACGGGGGGCAGCAGUAAGGAAUAUUGGUCAAUGGACGAAAGUCUGAACCAGCCAUGCCGCGUGAAGGAUGAAGGUCCUCUGGAUUGUAAACUUCUUUUAUAUGGGACGAAAAAAGGCUUUUCUAAGUCGUCUGACGGUACCAUUUGAAUAAGCACCGGCUAACUCCGUGCCAGCCGCCGCGGUAACAC
rnacentral:rRNA from 1 species